rnacentral:rRNA from 1 species
GUGAGGAAUUUUGCGCAAUGGCCGCAAGGCUGACGCAGCAACGCCGCGUGGGUGAUGAAGGCCUUCGGGUCGUAAAGCCCUGUCAGGUGGGAAGAAAGGCCUGGAGAGGAAAGGUUUCAGGUUUGACGGUACCACCAGAGGAAGCACCGGCUAACUCCGUGCCAGCAGCCGCGGUAAUACGGAGGGUGCGAGCGUUAUUCGGAAUUACUGGGCGUAAAGCGCGUGUAGGCGGGGGGACAAGUCUGAUGUGAAAGCCCUGGGCUUAACCUGGGAAGCGCAUUGGAAACUGUUUUUCUUGAGUACUGGAGAGGAAGGGGGAAUUCCCGGUGUAGAGGUGAAAUUCGUAGAGAUCGGGAGGAAUACCAGUGGCGUAGGCGCCCUUCUGGACGGUAACUGACGCUGAGACGCGAAAGCGUGGGGAGCAAACAGGAUUAGAUACCCGUGUAGUCC